UAUGUUAAAAUUUAAAAAGAAAUUUUACAAUACUAAAUCAUAUUAAUUGAAGUGUAUUUAAAUGAGAUGAAAAAAAAAAUAUUAGAACAUAAUAAAAAAUUCUGGAUAUUUCAACAAUAUUAAAUUAUUUUAAUAAUUUUUCAUUGAUUAUAAUCUUCUUCACUUGGGCAAAAGAUAACAUAUUCAUAUAAAAAUAGGAGAAUGCAUAUUAUUAUUAUUUAAAAAAAAAUACAAAGUAUACAUCUUAAGCAUGCAGCCAAUGAAGAGUAAU
rnacentral:lncRNA from 1 species